UACGUAGGUGGCAAGCGUUAUCCGGAAUUAUUGGGCGUAAAGCGCGCGCAGGUGGUUUCUUAAGUCUGAUGUGAAAGCCCACGGCUCAACCGUGGAGGGUCAUUGGAAACUGGGAGACUUGAGUGCAGAAGAGGAAAGUGGAAUUCCAUGUGUAGCGGUGAAAUGCGUAGAGAUAUGGAGGAACACCAGUGGCGAAGGCGAGUCCCUGGACAAUACCUGACACUGAGGCACGAAAGCCAAGGGAGCAAACAGG
rnacentral:rRNA from 1 species